UGGGGAAUAUUGGACAAUGGGCGAAAGCCUGAUCCAGCCAUGCCGCGUGUGUGAAGAAGGCCUUUUGGUUGUAAAGCACUUUAAGUGGGGAGGAAAAGCUUGUGGUUAAUACCCAUAAGCCCUGACGUUACCCACAGAAUAAGCACCGGCUAACUUUGUGCCAGCAGCCGCGGUAAUACAGAGGGUGCAAGCGUUAAUCGGAAUUACUGGGCGUAAAGCGCGCGUAGGUGGUUAUUUAAGUCAGAUGUGAAAGCCCCGGGCUUAACCUGGGAACUGCAUCUGAUACUGGAUAACUAGAGUAGGUGAGAGGGGAGUAGAAUUCCAGGUGUAGCGGUGAAAUGCGUAGAGAUCUGGAGGAAUACCGAUGGCGAAGGCAGCUCCCUGGCAUCAUACUGACACUGAGGUGCGAAAGCGUGGGUAGCAAACAGGAUUAGAUACCCUGGUAGUCCACGCCGUAAACGAUGUCUACCAGUCGUUGGGUCUUUUAAAGACUUAGUGACGCAGUUAACGCAAUAAGUAGACCGCCUGGGGAGUACGGCCGCAAGGUUA
rnacentral:rRNA from 1 species